GAUGAAGAACGCAGCGAAAUGCGAUAAGUAAUGUGAAUUGCAGAAUUCAGUGAAUCAUCGAGUCUUUGAACGCACAUUGCGCCCCCUGGUAUUCCGGGGGGCAUGCCUGUCCGAGCGUCAUUACAACCCUCAAGCCCGGCUUGUGUAAUGGGCGGCCGUCUCUCCCCCCGGGGGGAGACGCCCCCGAAACUCAGUGGGGAUGUCGCGAUACCGAAGCCUCAGCUAAUGGGUAAACCACAGCUGCAAUGGCCGCGGCCGGCGUCCGCCUUCCACGGUCCGUCCGCCUAGCGCGGGCGGCCUUCUCAAGGUUGACCUCGGAUCAGGUAGGGAUACCCGCUGAACUUAAGCAUAUCAAUAAGCGGAGGA
rnacentral:misc_RNA from 1 species